CCCCCUUAUAAAUUCAUCUCCUUUUAUAUUUGAAACCCUGUAAAGAUCGAUAUUUUGUUGUCUAAAUCUUUGCACCACUUUGAAUAUCUCUUCAGUCCAUCUUUGGCUAUAAGAUCGAUCAAAAAUAUGAGCUAUAUUUGACAGUCGAACUAAAGAACCUAUUUUAUACUUGUAUUGUUUUUUCCUCUUUUUGUUUGUUUGUAC
rnacentral:lncRNA from 1 species